CCUACGGGAGGCAGCAGUGGGGAAUUUUGGACAAUGGGCGCAAGCCUGAUCCAGCCAUGCCGCGUGCGGGAAAAAGGCCUUCGGGUUGUAAACCGCUUUUGUCAGGGAAGAAACGCACCGGGCUAAUAUCCCGGUGUAAUGACGGUACCUGAAGAAUAAGCACCGGCUAACUACGUGCCAGCAGCCGCGGUAAU
rnacentral:rRNA from 3 species